AUACAAUGGUGAGGGUAUUUUUGAACCAACGACUUAAAUUGCUCCCAAGCUUCUUGAAAACUUUCUCCUUCCAUUUAUUUAAAUGUUGUGAUCUCUCUCAUCAGUUG
rfam:Gossypium hirsutum cultivar TM-1 chromosome 7, whole genome shotgun sequence